GCCCCUUACGCUCUGGGCGACACACGUACUACAAUGGUCGGGACAGAGGGCAGCUAACCUGCGAAGGCAAGCUAAUCCCAGAAACUCGGCCUCAGUUCAGAUCGCAGGCUGCAACUCGCCUGCGUGAAGGAGGAAUCGCUAGUAAUCGCCGGUCAGAAUACGGCGGUGAAUCCGUUCCCGGGCCUUGUACACACCGCCCGUCACACCAUGGAAGCUGGCCACGCCCGAAGUCGUUACCCUAACCUCUAGGGGAGGGGGACGCCGAAGGCAGGGUUGGUGACUGGGGUGAAGUCKUAACAAGGUAGCCGUACCGGAAGGUGUGGCUGGAUCACCUCCUUUUU
rnacentral:rRNA from 1 species